AAGCCGAUCCUAAUUGCCAGUUGAGCAUGUCCUGCAUCACAGCAUUAAAAAUAGAGAGUUCUGAUAAUGUAUAUUAUGAUCUUAUGGUAAUUUUCUUUCUUCAACAAGCAAAUGUGCAUCAGGUAAGAUAUUUUGAACUUGUUUUGCGGUAUUCUAAUCUUAUAGAGCCUAUUGAACAAAGAAUGCAAAAUGUUGAAGAAUAUAUUAAGGUAUUUGUUCCACAUAUGAUGAUGCUUUAGUCUUGCAUACUCUAGGUGAUUGAUCUUGAAUCUUAAAAGAAAGAUCUUCCUCUCUGGUAAUGUCGUACUAAGGUUUGUGUAUUGUAUGAUGUAACAUAGUUGAGAAAGUAGGUUUGGUUGUUUGCAUUCUAUUUUAUUCACUUCAUGUUUGAUGACUACUUAUCCCGUUAAGAUCGAAGAGUGGCAAUAGGAUGAAACUUUUGAAGCUUUGUGUUUAUUGAAGGCACUCAGCUUAUAGAUGCUUUAAUGUUAGUGGAUUCUAACAGGGACCAUCAACACCCCUAUCUCACAUUAUUUUCGUCUUUCUUUUCUAUGUGAACAAAAUUUUUGCUCGUGAAUUGUUGCGAAGAUAACACUUGCAUUCUUUUCCUGCAAAUUAUCUUCAGUCUGUAAAGCCGGAGUUGGUUGUGCAAGUAGAACCCAUCGUUGAUCCCUAUGGUCCAUCAAUAAUUGAUGAGAAUUUGGAGGCUAUCGUCGUCAGCAAAGACAUUGCCUGGAGGAUUGUCAGUCAAUAAAAGGAGGGCAGAGAGAGGUCUCCCGCAACUAAAGGUUUAGCUAUACAGACCACAUGAAUUACUUGUUAUGAUAGUAGAAGGGAAAACUGAAGAAUUAGUCCCCCAACCUAUUGCUUGAGUAGCAAGUUGGUCCUUAACUCAAGUUCAAACAAUAAGAUCAUCAAAAACUUUGUUUAACUCAUCAUGUGGCACUCACACCUCCAACUUGAUGAAAUUAGAUUUUGUUUUCCAACUUGGCCUGGUGCCUAUUAAUUUGAAGUUGGGCACGUCCAUGAGGUCAUGUGAUAUGAUUUAACAAGGAUUUGGAAGGUUUUCGUCGUUGAGGAUUGAUUAUGAAACUAAAAUGGAAGGUUGAUGACCAACUUGCUAUUCGGGCAAUAAGUUGGCUACAAAUGUUGCAAUUUUUCCUAGUAAAAAUGUCACCCCAUGGAACGCAGAUCAAUGUUGUAGAUUUAGUCCCCGAGGAUUCUAGUGGAGAGAAAAUGAGUUCGACAUCAUUGAGGAGACUUGAAGCGGAGAAGCUGAGCAAGGUUCAGCUGGAAGGUCAGGUUUAAUUUUGAUUGGCGGAACUGUACAUUGAAAUUUACUUUUCUUAGAUGUGCAGAGGAAAUCAGUAAUUUGACAUGAUUGAUUUUUACCCCUCCUUGUAUCAUUAACGACAUCGUCUUCUAAGUCUUGGUGGAUAUAGGCUUUUUAUCCUUGUCAUAUGUUGUAUGCCAUUGUUUUCUCAAACAAGUAAAUUGCAUACAUAUAAUGUUUAAAAAAUAUAAGCUUGGUUAUUCGAGUUUUCUCUCUCUUUCAUUGUGUUCAUGGAUUGAUAUUAUAUUAGUAAGAUUACUCGAUUCAUUGUCAA